rnacentral:rRNA from 1 species
ACCCGCUGAACUUAAGCAUAUCAAUAAGCGGAGGAAAAGAAACCAACCGGGAUUGCCUCAGUAACGGCGAGUGAAGCGGCAAGAGCUCAAAUUUGAAAUCUGGCCCCCUCGGGGUCCGAGUUGUAAUUUGCAGAGGAUGCUUCGGGUGCGGUCCCCAUCUAAGUGCCCUGGAACGGGCCGUCAUAGAGGGUGAGAAUCCCGUCUGGGAUGGGCGGCCGCGCCCGUGUGAAGCUCCUUCGACGAGUCGAGUUGUUUGGGAAUGCAGCUCUAAGCGGGUGGUAAAUUUCAUCUAAAGCUAAAUACUGGCCGGAGACCGAUAGCGCACAAGUAGAGUGAUCGAAAGAUGAAAAGCACUUUGAAAAGAGAGUUAAACAGCACGUGAAAUUGUUGAAAGGGAAGCGUUGUCCACCAGACUCGCCCGGGGGGGUUCAGCCGGCACGUGUGCCGGUGUACUCCUCUCCGGGCGGGCCAGCAUCGGUUUGGGCGGCUGGUGAAAGGCCCCGGGAAUGUACCACCCUCCGGGGUGUCUUAUAGCCCGGGGUGCCAUACAGCCUGCCUGGACCGAGGCCCGCGCUUCGGCGAGGAUGCUGGCGUAAUGGUGGUCAACGGCCCGUCUUGAAACACGGACCAAGGAGUCUAACAUCUAUGCGAGUGUUCGGGUGUCAAACCCGUCCGCGCAGUGAAAGCGAACGGAGGUGGGAGCCCCUCGGGGCGCACCAUCGACCGAUCCUGAUGUCUUCGGAUGGAUUUGAGUAAGAGCAUAGCUGUUGGGACCCGAAAGAUGGUGAACUAUGCCUGAAUAGGGCGAAGCCAGAGGAAACUCUGGUGGAGGCUCGCAGCGGUUCUGACGUGCAAAUCGAUCGUCAAA